rnacentral:rRNA from 1 species
AAAAAAAAUUUGAAAAAAAACCCCCCCCCCUGCACCCUUUGGCUACUUUUUCGGUUCCCAGACCGAUAUAGAGCAAGUGCCGUGCGGGGAAGAUUAGAAGCCCUUUUUAAUAGAGUUUUAAGAACGUCAAUUGUGUCGAAGGAAGCGCUUCAGUGUCCCUCUUUGCUUGAGAGUCUUCGUGGCCUUUUUGCUUGGUGUGUUUCUCGGUGGCAAGCCAGCAUUGGUUUUGGUCGUCGGAGAAGCGCAUUGGGAAUGUGGCGUCGCCGGAUGUGUUAUAGCCUUAUGCAGGAUACGACGGUCCUGGUUCAAGGAACGCAGUGUGCCCUCUGGCCGGGUCUUCGGACACCUUCACACUU